AGCACGGGUGCUUGCACCUGGUGGCGAGUGGCGAACGGGUGAGUAAUACAUCGGAACGUACCUUAUCGUGGGGGAUAACGCAGCGAAAGCUGUGCUAAUACCGCAUACGCCCUGAGGGGGAAAGCGGGGGAUCGAAAGACCUCGCGCGAUUAGAGCGGCCGAUGCCUGAUUAGCUUGUUGGUGGGGUAAAAGCCCACCAAGGCGACGAUCAGUAGCUGGUCUGAGAGGACGAUCAGCCACACUGGGACUGAGACACGGCCCAGACUCC
rnacentral:rRNA from 1 species